GGAACUUCGGGUUUAGUGGCGGACGGGUGAGUAACGCGUGAGAAUCUGCCUCUAGGUCGGGGACAACAAUUGGAAACGAUUGCUAAUACCGGAUAUGCCUACGGGUAAAAGGCUUGCUGCCUGAAGAAGAGCUUGCGUCCGAUUAGCUAGUUGGUGGGGUAAAGGCUUACCAAGGCGGCGAUCGGUAGCUGGUCUGAGAGGAUGACCAGCCACACUGGGACUGAGACAAGGCCCAGACUCCUACGGGAGGCAGCAGUGGGGAAUUUUCCGCAAUGGGCGAAAGCCUGACGGAGCAAUACCGCGUGAGGGAAGAAGGCUCUUGGGUUGUAAACCUCUUUUCUCAGGCAAUAAAAAAUGAAGGUACCUGAGGAAUAAGCAUCGGCUAACUCCGUGCCAGCAGCCGCGGUAAUACGGAGGAUGCAAGCGUUAUCCGGAAUGAUUGGGCGUAAAGCGUCCGCAGGUGGUACAACAAGUCUAGUUGUCAAAGACCGGGGCUCAAACCCGGGAAGGCGGUGGAAACUGUUG
rnacentral:rRNA from 1 species